UACGUAGGGUCCAGGCGUUAUCCGGAUUUAUUGGGUUUAAAGGGAGCGCAGGCGGGCUGUUAAGCGUGACGUGAAAUGUAGCCGCUCAACGGCUGAGUUGCGUCGCGAACUGGCAGUCUUGAGUGAGUACGACGUCAGCGGAAUUCGUGGUGUAGCGGUGAAAUGCUUAGAUAUCACGAAGAACCCCGAUUGCGAAGGCAGCUGACGAGUCCUUAACUGGCGCUAAAGCUCGAAGGUGCGGGUAUCGAAC
rnacentral:rRNA from 1 species